GACAGAGGGGGCCAGCGUUGUCCGGAUUGACUGGGCGUACAGCGCGCGCAGGUGGAUACUGACGUGCCGUGUGACAGCCAGGAGCUCAACUUCUGGUGGCCACGGUAAACGCAGUGUCUGGAGGGUGCGAGAGGCAUGUGGAAUACCCGGUGGAGCGGUGAAAUGCGUAGAGAUCGGGUGGAACACCAGUGGCGAAGGCGGCAUGCUGGCGCAUUCCUGACACUGAGGCGCGAGAGCGUGGGGAGCAAACGGGAUUAGAAACCCGGUAGUCC
rnacentral:rRNA from 1 species